AUGAGGAAUGUAGUGACCCUGGCCCCUCAACUACACUAAAAAAAAGGGUUUUCAGUGGCAGUUCAUUUUACUGAAGAAAAUUACGCCAAUACAGCGCAAAUACAUUGAUUUUCUCUCUGAACGUGAAUGUUUAGUGUUUUAUCAACUUAGAGAGGUUAGACUUAAACUAUAUGUGAUUACUUGGUGUAGAAACAGCUUAAUUCAAUAACUUCACCUACAUUCAGUCUACUUCAUGCGAUUAAAUGAGCAUCCGAAUAUGAUAAAACAACGUGUAACACGCGGUGAAAAGAGCAACGGACGACCGGGAAGCGGGGCUUUUCAGAUUUGGAACUCGGAGAACACACAACUGGUCUCGGAGAGCACAAGUACUGAUCAUGCUCCUCAGUGCAUGAGGUGAAGAAACAAUGGCAACAGUGAUGGAGACAAGUGGAUUGGACUUUUCGUUUUUAUAAAAUUCUUAUGUAGGGUACUUCUUGUGAGAUUCUUUUUUUUUCUUUCUGGAAAAUUCAGUGUUGGUAAUGAUCUUGCUUUUUGUAAUAACACCCUGAUUGUGUUGUAUGUUAGAGGUAUUACAUUUUCUUGCACUGUUAAAUGCUGCAGUUUUCAUUCUGUGUUCAUGUUCUUCAUUCUCAUUCUCUUCUUCAUUCGCACAUGUAAAGAGAAAAAAAAUUGAGAAGAAACUUCACAUUUUACAAUAUUUCAGAGGAAAUAUUAAGCAGAAUGGAUUAGGCAGGCCUUCUUUUUGAUUUAUAUUUUGAAUUUAUAUUUUGUCUUUCAACAUAGGAAGUUAAACAAUUCUUAUGUAUGAUGUGCCUUAGUUAAGGUUAUCUUUUUUUCUAAAAGAAUCCUGCUCCAUUCCUGAAAUGUGAGCUGCGUUGUCUGAAGUGUUUGAGAUUUUAAAUAUAUGUUUUUCCCAAAUACA